GAUGAACGCUGGCGGCGUGCCUAAUACAUGCAAGUCGAGCGAACAGACGAGGAGCUUGCUCCUCUGAUGUUAGCGGCGGACGGGUGAGUAACACGUGGAUAACCUACCUAUAAGACUGGGAUAACUUCGGGAAACCGGAGCUAAUACCGGAUAACAUGUUGAACCGCAUGGUUCAACAGUGAAAGACGGUCUUGCUGUCACUUAUAGAUGGAUCCGCGCCGCAUUAGCUAGUUGGUAAGGUAACGGCUUACCAAGGCAACGAUGCGUAGCCGACCUGAGAGAGGGAUAGGCCACACUGGAACUGAGACACGGUCCAGACGCCUACGGGAGGCAGCAGUAGGGAAUCUUCCGCAAUGGGCGAAAGCCUGACGGAGCAACGCCGCGUGAGUGAAGAAGGUCUUCGGAUCGUAAAACUCUGUUAUUAGGGAAGAACAAAUGUGUAAGUAACUAUGCACGUCGUGACGGUACCUAAUCAGAAAGCCACGGCUAACUACGUG
rnacentral:rRNA from 1 species